AGUGAACGCUGGCGGUAGGCCUAACACAUGCAAGUCGAACGGCAGCACAGUAAGAGCUUGCUCUUACGGGUGGCGAGUGGCGGACGGGUGAGGAAUACAUCGGAAUCUACUUUUUCGUGGGGGAUAACGUAGGGAAACUUACGCUAAUACCGCAUACGACCUACGGGUGAAAGCAGGGGAUCUUCGGACCUUGCGCGAUUGAAUGAGCCGACGUCGGAUUAGCUAGUUGGCGGGGUAAAGGCCCACCAAGGCGACGAUGCGUAGCUGGUCUGAGAGGAUGAUCCGCCACAUUGGAACUGAGACACGGUCCACACUCCUACGGGAGGCAGCAGUGGGGAAUAUUGGACAAGGGGCGCGAGCCUGAUCCAGCCAUACCGCGUGGGUGAAGAAGGCCUUCGGGUUGUAAAGCCAUUUUGUUGGGAGAGAAAAGCAGCAGGUUAAUACCCCGCUGUUCUGACGGUACCCAAAGAAUAAGCACCGGCUAACUUCGUG
rnacentral:rRNA from 1 species